rnacentral:rRNA from 1 species
ACUCUAAGCGGUGGAUCACUCGGCUCAUGGGUCGAUGAAGAACGCAGCAAACUGUGCGUCAUCGUGUGAACUGCAGGACACAUGAACAUCGACAUUUUGAACGCAUAUCGCAGUCCAUGCUGUUAUGUACUUUAAUUAAUUUUAUAGUGCUGCUUGACUACAUAUGGUUGAGGGUUGUAAGACUAUGCUAAUUAAGUUGCUUAUAAAUUUUUAUAAGCAUAUGGUAUAUUAUUGGAUAAAUAUAAUAAUUUUUAUUCAUAAUAUUAAAAAAUAAAUGAAAAACAUUAUCUCACAUUUGAAUGUGAAAAACGAAGAGAAAUAUUUUCUUUUUCAAUCAAAUAAUACUGAGAAAUGUCUAGCAUAAAAAAUUGAAAUAUUUUUCAUCUAGAAUUGUCUCUUAUUAAUGAUUCGGAAAUAGAAAAUCUUGGUUAUGUUAUUAUUCUUCGUUGGUUUCGUUAAAAAUGGAUAAAUAAAACUUUGCAUACAAGAAUUAAUAAAAAUGUUAUAACGAAUUUAAUUAAAUGUUUUAUCAUUAUAUAUAAAGAAUUUAUGGCAAGAUAAAGUUAUAUACAACCUCAACUCAUAUGGGACUACCCCCUGAAUUUAAGCAUAUUAAUUAGGGGAGGAAAAGAAACUAACAAGGGAUUUUCUUAGUAGCGGCGAGCGAAAAGAAAACAGUUCAGCACUAAUCACUUUGUCUAUAUGGCAAAUGUGAGAUGCAGUGUAUGGAGCGUCAAUAUUCUAGUAUGAGAAAUUAACGAUUUAAGUCCUUCUUAAAUGAGGCCAUUUACCCAUAGAGGGUGCCAGGCCCGUAUAACGUUAAUGAUUACUAGAUGAUGUUUCCAAAGAGUCGUGUUGCUUGAUAGUGCCAGCACUAAGUGGUGGUAAACUCCAUCUAAAACUAAAUAUAACCAUGAGACCGAUAGUAAACAAGUACCGUGAGGGAAAGUUGAAAAGAACUCUGAAUAGAGAGUUAAACAGUACGUGAAACUGCUUAGAGGUUAAGCCCGAUGAACCUGAAUAUCCGUUAUGGAAAAUUCAUCAUUAAAAUUGUAAUAUUUAAAUAAUAUUAUGAGAAUAGUGUGCAUUUUUUCCAUAUAAGGACAUUGUAAUCUAUUAGCAUAUACCAAAUUUAUCAUAAAAUAUAACUUAUAGUUUAUUCCAAUUAAAUUGCUUGCAUUUUAAACAGAAUAAAUGUUAUUAAUUUGAUUAAAGUGCUGAUAGAUUUAUAUGAUUACAGUGCGUUAAUUUUUCGGAAUUAUAUAAUGGCAUAAUUAUCAUUGAUUUUUGUGUUUAUUAUAUGCACUUGUAUGAUUACAAUGCGAAAGAUUCAGGAUACCUUCGGGACCCGUCUUGAAACACGGACCAAGGAGUCUAACAUAUGUGCAAGUUAUUGGGAUAUAAACCUAAUAGCGUAAUUAACUUGACUAAUAAUGGGAUUAGUUUUUUAGCUAUUUAUAGCUAAUUAACACAAUCCCGGGGCGUUCUAUAUAGUUAUGUAUAAUGUAUAUUUAUAUUAUUUAUGCCUCUAACUGGAACGUACCUUGAGCAUAUAUGCUGUGACCCGAAAGAUGGUGAACUAUACUUGAUCAGGUUGAAGUCAGGGGAAACCCUGAUGGAAGACCGAAACAGUUCUGACGUGCAAAUCGAUUGUCAGAAUUGAGUAUAGGGGCGAAAGACCAAUCGAACCAUCUAGUAGCUGGUUCCUUCCGAAGUUUCCCUCAGGAUAGCUGGUGCAUUUUAAUAUUAUAUAAAAUAAUCUUAUCUGGUAAAGCGAAUGAUUAGAGGCCUUAGGGUCGAAACGAUCUUAACCUAUUCUCAAACUUUAAAUGGGUAAGAACCUUAACUUUCUUGAUAUGAAGUUCAAGGUUAUGAUAUAAUGUGCCCAGUGGGCCACUUUUGGUAAGCAGAACUGGCGCUGUGGGAUGAACCAAACGUAAUGUUACGGUGCCCAAAUUAACAACUCAUGCAGAUACCAUGAAAGGCGUUGGUUGCUUAAAACAGCAGGACGGUGAUCAUGGAAGUCGAAAUCCGCUAAGGAGUGUGUAACAACUCACCUGCCGAAAGCAACUAGCCCCUUAAAAUGGAUGGCGCUUAAGUUGUAUACCUAUACAUUACCGCUAAAGUAGAUGAUUAUAUUACUUGUGAUAUAAAUUUUGAAACUUUAGUGAGUAGGAAGGUACAAUGGUAUGCGUAGAAGUGUUUGGCGUAAGCCUGCAUGGAGCUGCCAUUGGUACAGAUCUUGGUGGUAGGUAGCAAAUAAAUCGGAAUGAGACCUUGGAGGACUGAAGUGGGAGAAGGGUUUCGUUGUGAACAGUGGUUGAUCACGAGUUAGUCGGUCCUAAGGUUCAAGGCGAAAGCCGAAAAAUUUUCAAGUAAAAACAAAAAUGCCUAACUAUAUAAACAAAGCGAAUUAUAAUACACUUGAAUAAUUUUGAAACGAAAGUGGAAUACGGUUCCAAUUCCGUAACCUGUUGAGUAUCCGUUUGUUAUUAAAUAUGGGCCUCGUGCUCAUCCUGGCAACAGGAACGACCAUAAAGAAGCCGUCGAGAGAUAUCGGAAGAGUUUUCUUUUCUGUUUUAUAGCCGUACUACCAUGGAAGUCUUUCGCAGAGAGAUAUGGUAGAUGGGCUAGAAGAGCAUGACAUAUACUGUUGUGUCGAUAUUUUCUCCUCGGACCUUGA